rnacentral:rRNA from 1 species
UACAGAGGUCCCGAGCGUUGUUCGGAUUCAUUGGGCGUAAAGGGCGCGUAGGCGGCCCUCUAAGUCGGACGUGAAAUCCCUCGGCUCAACCGAGGAACUGCGUCCGAUACUGGAUGGCUUGAGUUUGGGAGAGGGAUGCGGAAUUCCAGGUGUAGCGGUGAAAUGCGUAGAUAUCUGGAGGAACACCGGUGGCGAAGGCGGCAUCCUGGACCAACACUGACGCUGAGGCACGAAAGCGUGGGGAGCAAACAGG